rnacentral:rRNA from 1 species
UUCCAAGCUUAAUGGCUGCGGUAAUUUGACCGUACAAAGGUAGCAUAAUAAUUAGUUUAUUAAUUGUAAACUUGAAUGAAUGAUUGGACGAGAGAAUUACUGUGUCUAAUCAAGAGUGAUGAAUUUAAUUUUUUAUUGAGAAGGAUAAAAUUUAUUUGAAAGACGAGAAGACCCCGUAGAUCUUUAUGAUUGAGUUAAUUUAAGUAUUGUUUUAUGAAUAGCUUAUUAUUUAGUUGGGGUAAUUUGGUUUAUAAAUAUUUUUUUAUUAGACAAUUAAAUGUUGAUUUUAUGACCUAUUAAAUAGUAGUUUGAUUAAGUUACCUCGGGGAUAACAGCAUAAUUUAGUUUUGGAGUUCUUAUCUAUGAUUGAGUUUGUGACCUCGAUGUUGGAUUAAGGUAG